rnacentral:tRNA from 1 species
GCGAGAGUGGCGGAACUGGUAUACGCGCUGGACUUAGGAUCCAGUGGAUUUCUCCGUAGGGGUUCGAGUCCCCUCUCUCGCACCA